UCAGACAAAAGCUCACCACCAUAGCCCUUUUCCAUCUUUGCUUGCCCAAACCUCCACCACACCACACACCAGAGCUCACCGCCAUAGAGUUCACCCGAGUUGUGUGUGAGAAUGAAUUAAGAAAACCCACAGCCCUCAGACAAAAGCUUCCUCCGUCUUCCAUCUUUGCUUGCCCAAACCUCCACCACACCACACACCGAAGCUCACCGCCACAGAGGUCGUCGGAGCUGUGCGUGGAGCUUGGAAACAUAUCGGAGCCACUGUGAGCCACGAUCCAAAGGUGACUACUGAUCUAUUCCUAGCUCUACAAAAUCCAAAGAAAUGUCUUUGCCCCUUUUGGAACAUUGAUUGAAGACAUCCAGUGGAGAGCAUCACACUUCAGAAAAGUUUUUAGUUUUACAAAUUCUUUACGUAAUCAAGUAGCUCAUGUAAUAGCAAAGGAAGCUCUCAAGAGGAAUUCUAAGGAAUUUGGGUGGAGGAAUGCCCCCUUUCCUUCUUAAUUCUGUAUAGAUAGACAAAUAUAUGGUAGACUAGGAAGAUAUUGUAUAUGCUCUAGAACAUGUCUUGUAUGCUAGAGAUUUGAUAUUGUUUCAAAAGCCUUUCAGUCGGAGGUGUCU